rnacentral:misc_RNA from 1 species
GAUGAAGAACGUAGCGAAAUGCGAUAAGUAAUGUGAAUUGCAGAAUUCAGUGAAUCAUCGAAUCUUUGAACGCACAUUGCGCCCGCCAGAAUUCUGGCGGGCAUGCCUGUUCGGGCGUCAUUACAACCCUCAGGCCCCCGGGCCUGGCGUUGGGGAUCGGCGGAAGCCCCCUGCGGGCACAACGCCGUCCCCCAAAUACAGUGGCGGUCCCGCCGCAGCUUCCAUUGCGUAGUAGCUAACACCUCGCAACUGGAGAGCGGCGCGGCCACGCCGUAAAACACCCAACUUCUGAAUGUUGACCUCGAAUCAGGUAGGAAUACCCGCUGAACUUAAGCAUAUCAAUAAGCGGAGGA